CGGCCGGCCGGGCGCGCUUGUUUUACGAGGCGGCGCGGCGUCUGUGUGGGAUUUAACCCCCGACUUUACGAGCUUUGUAAGCCUUGACUGUACAUAACACCGGGAGUAAAAUCCAUCACAGCAGCA